AGAAGCCAAAUGUCCCACUUGAUCAUCAGGAAAGUGAUGGAAGUGGAAGGACGAGUGGCCUGGAGAACCCCACAUCAGUGUCGGUGACUGGUUCCUUAGGUGUAGGACUCUCAGAGAUAAAGUCUUCUUUGUAAGAUGAUGGCUCUUUUCAUAAAUGACCCACCGGGGAUGGAGAAAGAGAGAAGCUACAUAGCUGCAAGGAUAUUAGACCUCACCCUGGAGAUCAUCUCCUUGAUAACUGGAGAGGAUUACACAGUAGUGAAGAAGUCGUCUGAUGAGUGUGUAACACCUCGUGUGUCAGGAGGAUGGAGCAGGACCCAGAGCCCCAUCACCGACCCUCCACCUCAUUCACUGAUACAUGAGCAAAAGAUCCUAGAACUUACCAACAGGAUCACUGACCUGCUGAGCGGAGAGGUUCCUAUAAGGUGUCAGGAUGUCGCUGUCUAUUUCUCCAUCGAGGAGUGGGAGUAUUUAG